UUUUGGAACUUGGUACUUCCCUCCGGGAUAGACCUUCCGAAGAUUACGGAGGUGGAUAACUGCAUUAUCAGUUGAGCCAGACAAAACCCUGUCUCUCUCUGCUUUAACAUCUAUGUCCUCGUCGGGUUCAGAAGCAACAUUCCCUGAGGAUGAUCUCAGAAGAGGUUCCGAAAACCCAAAGGAAUUAGCACGCCUAGAUUUUCCCAAGCUUUUCCACCACUCAUGAAUUCUGGAAAGAUUUCUUUUUUGUUGAGGCAGGAAUUCAAGCCCCAGAGUUAUAAGGAAACACACAAUGGCCUCAGCAGCCAAGUAUGAUAAGGAAGCACCAGUCACAUUCCAGUCAAGUAUGUUAUCUCUAGAUCCAUUCUUCAUCCCUUGUCUUAAAAGGGCCAAUGAAGCUAAUCCAUCAGCGAAGCAAAAUCCUGGUGACAGUCUAAAGAAGUUCUUGAGCACAGAAUUUAAGUGUGUUGUAGAAUUUAUAUAUCCCAUUAUAAACGAUAGAACCAUAAGAAUGAGGCCAGUGAAAACUUGAAUGAGAAGGAUGACAUUCUGAGCCAUGCUGUGCUCGGAAAAGAAGAAUGUGAGGCAGUAUGUUGAUGAAGCAAUUGCUAGUCCAUAUUCAAGAAACAACAGAAUUGUUGGAAUGA
rnacentral:misc_RNA from 1 species